rnacentral:lncRNA from 1 species
GAGGACACCUAGAUGGCACCAUUUAUGAGGAAGGAACCCUCCCUACACACUUAACCUGCUGGCACCUUGAUCUUGGACUUUCUAGGCUUCAGAGGAAAUGAGUUUCUGUACUUUAUAAAUUAUCCAGUCUCGGGUAUUUUAUUAAAGCUUACAAACAGACUUGUAUUAUCUCCUUUAUCUUGCAAACCUCUAUAGCCAUGUCCAUUUUAUUGAGGCUCAGAGAUGCUAAGGAGCCCAAGGUCACACAGCUAGUAAGGAACAGGUCCAGGCAUUCAUUCAUUAAUGAAUUCAUUAAUUCGUUCAAUCAACCAAUCUUUACUUAUUUAUUAAAGGCCUAUAAUGUGCUAGUCAAAGUCUAGAUGUUGGGAAAAUAACAGUAAUCAAGUCAAAGUGCUCGUCCACAAGGAGCUACCAUUCUAGCGGAAGAAACAUAUCCUAAAGAAAAAUACAAGUCAAUAAAUACUGUGUCAGGUGGUGAUAAAUGCUAUGGGGAAGAAAGAGGGUUAGUGAUGGCUGAAGUGGGUCUGCUGUUUAUAUAGGGUGGUCAAGGUGAUCUGGCAACAUUUGAGCGGAGAUCUAAAGGAAAUGAGUCAUGCAGAGAUCUGCAGGAAAAAACAUCACAGGAGGUGGGAACAGCCUAUGCAAAGGCCCUGGGGUGGGCACAUCUAUGGUAUGUUGGAGAGGCAGCGAGGAGUUUAGUGUGGCUGGAGCUGAGUGAGUGAGGGGAGAUAAACUUAGGUGACAGGGGUUAGAUCACGGAGGGCCUCGUGGUCAUGGCAGGAACUUCGGUUUUGACUUUGAUGAAACAGGGAGCCACUAAAGGACAACUCCCAGAACCCAUGUCCUUAAUUGCUAUGCUAUACUACUGAUGGAUUACGUGAAUGAAUGCCGAAAGGUACUUGUGGACUUUUUCUCAUUAAAACCAGCAGGAUGGUGGCCCAGAGAGUCUAGAAACAACGCAUGGAAGGGCAAGAUGUGAGUUAACAAGGAGGGCUAAUUAGGAAGGGGGAAAAGUGCCCAUUGCCUUGGUUGCCGGGAGUCUCUGAGGCUCCCACAGCACAGGACUGUGUAGGGCCCCGUGAUAGCCCCAGUGGGUCCUCUACCUGGAUUUGCAGAGUAGAUUUUCCAGGCCUGCCCCAGAUGGGUCUCAGCCCUUCCAUGAAAUAUGUCCUUUGCUAACAAGAGGCAGUGAGAAAAAGCCAACGUCUGCAAUGACUCACCAGAGAGAAAUGAAAAUUGUGCCCAGACUGGAAAAGAACCCAUCUGAAAGUGACACAUUUGCCUCCAAAAUAUAUAUACAUAUAUAUAAAGCUUUUUCUUUUCUUUUUCCUUCUCAUUUGAAGGAAGGCAGAGCCUUCUCACAUACACUGCCUCACAGCAGGAAAAUCUACUCUGCAAACUUCUGAAAUUCCUGUCCUUAUUCCUGUCGCAAUUCUAUGAGGCAAAAGGAUAUCAUAUCUGGGGAGGUGGCCAUUUCACGGCAGGACAGCAAGCGUGUGCCCUGGCAUUCCCAGGACAAUCCCAAUAGCAAAUAUUCUUCUGAUUGGCUGCCCCCCUCCCCCAGCCCCACUGCCAACUAACCAGCUAUUCUGACUUGGGAGUGCGUACGUUAAAAUGCAGAUUCUGGGAACUCUGAUUCAGGAGGUCUGGGAGGAAGCCCGGACACUGCACUUCAAAUAGAGAACCUCCAAUGAUUCUGAUACAGCCUGUCUAAGAAACGCUUCUCCAAACCACAGGAAUAGUCCCAGUAGCCCUAGCCUUCUGCAUCUAUGCUUAAAGGAUGAAGUGACUCCAAUCCUUUCUCAGACCACAGGGAGGCACAUUUUAGCUCCUGGCAGAGGUCAGAAUGCUCCUGGCCAAAUCAGAGUGGUGGAGAAUCUUGAAAUCCCAGUCCUUGCCCCUGUCCAUUCCAACUCUCUUCAUUUAUCUUCCUGACUUGAGCUUCUGGACUCUGCCGAGCAUUUGCUCUCUGGGUCAUAGCCAGGAAGGCCCCGGUGCUGAGGCAUGGAGCUGCCCUGGGUCUUGGAUACAAGCCACAGCUGGAGAGGGGGUCAGACCUUGCCUAAGCCUCUGAUCAUGAAGUAUAACAGAAAUGCCUAAUUGUGAUUAUGAAACACUGUUUCACGUCUUAAUUUGUUGAAGUUACAUGUUGACAGUAGGUACUGCCUUAGCAGGUGGAAACAAAAGGGUCCUACAUCUAUUAUUACUGUAAUUUACUGGAAUAAGGAGCCACCAGAUGCAGCCCUGGCUCACACCCCUUCCUCAUGAAUUACAAAGCUGGUCUGAGGGCCCUGUCAGUUGCUGGCUUUGGGCACCAACAUUGCUAAUUAAAAUCUUCCUGUGGUGCACUCCACUUUGUUGAGAUCUCUGCUCAGAUGCCAUCUUCCUUACCCACUGGUCUAAAUGACUCUCUUCCCCAGUGCCCUUCUCUUGUUAUUUCUAACCUCUUAGCCUACUUUAUUUUCCUUCAGAGCAUCCACCACUACUUGAAUUACAAAUUGAUUUAUUUGCUUGCUACUUUAUCAUCUGCCUUAAUCCAUCUAGAAGGUAAGUUCUUUAAGAGCUAUGACGUUGUCAUGUUCAACACUGUAUUUUGAUGCCUUGCACAUAACAGGCACUCAACUGAUAGUUGCUGAAUGAAUCAAUCAAUGAUAAAUGAAUGAAUGUUACAAUGUUCUGAGGGCCCUGGAGUCAUGUCUAACUGCAUGAUGCUCUACUUAUUGGAUCCAGUGGUCUUUGCGGACUAAGCAGAUACACAAAAAAUAACAACAGCUGCUUUUUUUUUUUUUUUCUUUUGAGACAGGAUCUUGCUCUGUUGCAUAGGCUGGAGUGCAGUGGCACAAUCUUGGUUCACUGCAACCUCUGCCUCCCGAGCUCAAGCAAUCCUCCCACCUUGGCCUCCCCGGUAGCUGGGACUGUGAAUGCGCACCACCACACCUGACUAAUUUUUGUAUUUUUUGGUAGAGAUGGGGUUUCACCGCAUUGCCCAGGCUGGCCUCAAACACCUGGGCUCAAAUGAUCCGCCUGCCUUGGGCUCCCAGAGUGCUGGGAUUACGGGUGUGAGCCUCCGCACCCAGCCAAUAGCUGUUUUAUUUAGUGCUUACUAUGUACUGGGUGUACACACCAUCUCAUUUUAUCCUCAGAGUAGUUUUGCAAGGUCGGGAUUAUUAACCCCAUUUAUUUAUUUAUUUUUUUGAGACAGGGUCUCGUUUUGUCACCCAGGCUGGAUACACUGGCACGUUCAAUAGUUCACGGCAGCCUCGACCUCCCGGGCUCAAGCAACUCUCCCAUCUCAGCAUCCCGAGUAGCUGAGACCACAGGUACUCACCACCAUGCCCAGCUAAUUUUUGUAUCUUUUUUGGUAGAGACAGGGUUUCACCAUGUUGCCCAGGUUGCUCUGAACUCCUGGGCUCAAGUGAUCUGCCUGCCUCAGCCUGCCAAAGUGCUGGGAUUACAGGCAUGAGCCACUGCAUGUGGCCCUAUUAACUCCACAUAAGAGAUAUAAAAACCAAUGACAAAGUCACCCAGCCAGUAAGGGAAGAGGCGGAAUUCAAACUUAAGUCAUUUAAUGCCAAGGUCUUCACUGUGUCUCACGACAACUGCAUUUGAUGCGAUCUAACUUGUGUUGACACUGGGAUAGGAUCCAGAGACAAGCAAGACAAGGUCCCUAAUGCCAGAAGUUCAGGGUCUAUCUCGGCAGCACAGCAGAAUAAGGAUGAGCAAGCAAUUAGAAUUCACCUCCACAUCCGAGCCUCAUCCUGUACUAGCUGAGCCUCAGCUCCCUCCUCUGUAAAAUAGAGUACUAAUUCACCAAAAUAAUGGAGCCAUAAGUCAUCAGUCCUCUGCUAUGUGAGGACACAGCAAGAAGGCAGCCACCUGCAAGCGAGAAGAGGCCCUACACCAGAGCCUGGCCAUGGUGGCACCCUGAUCUCAGACUUCCAGCCACCAGACCUGUGAGAAAUCAAUGUUUGCUGUUAAGGCUGCCUAGUCCAUGACAUUUUGUUAUAUAUAGCAGCCUGAACUAAAACAGUAGUGAUUCUGGAAGUCAGGUCUACUAGCCAAACACUGUGAACCACCGAUACAUUUAAUUCCAUUACACAGAUCCAAAGUAGUUUUAUUAUCAAACUAAAGGUACAAAGAAAAGAGUCAAGAAUCUCUAGGCAAUUAAAAAUUAGCAUCACAAUCUAGGUGCGGUGGCUCAUGCCCAUAAUCCCAGUAUUUAGGAUUCCCAGUACUGGGGAGGCUGAGGCGGGAGGAUCACUUGAGGCCAGGAGUUCAAGAUCAGCCUGGGCAAUAGAGCAAGAACCUACCUCUACAAAAAAUAUAAAAACUAGUCAGGCAUCGUGGCAUAAGCCUGUAGUCCCCACUACUUGGGAGGCUAAGGUGGGAGGAUUGCUUGAGCCCAGUUAUUUGAGACUGCAGUGAGCUAUAAUCAUACUACUGCACUCCAGCCUGGACAGCAGAGCAAGACUCUUAAAAAAAUUACCAUCACAAAUCAAUUAUGUUCAAAUCUCUCUGUUAAUAAGUAUUUCUUGAUUGGGCUGUUUAGAUUUUAGCAUCUACGUGGGCAAUACAAGGCAGUUGAGGGUGAAGGAAACUGGCAUCUCAUGGCUGGGGUGAUGCAAAUUAUUACUCUCUGUGGGCAGUUUUGUAGCUUUUACUCAAAAUCUUUAAAAUGUACAUAUUCUUUGGCUCUGCAGUUCUACUUCUGAGAAUCUUUCAUCCCACAGGGUACAAAAAGAUGUUCACCAUAGUGUUAUUUUUAUUACUGGAAAGUGGGACACAAUAUAAACAGCAGUCAUUACGGGACUGGUCCCAUGUUAGCACACAAGAACACCGGGAUGGUAUACAGCGAUUAAUAAUCAUGUGGCUUUCUCUGCUGACAUGGGAAAGUGUCCAUAAUAGUUUGUCAAAUUAAGAAGAUGACAAAACGGUACAUAAUCAUAUUUCUGUAACAUCGUAUGUAUGGGUGUGUAUGCUUGCAGAAAAGUCUACAAAAAUAUUCCCUGGAUUGUUCACAGUGGCUUUAUCUUGGUAGAAGGAUUUCAAGUGAUAUUUUUUCAAACUUUUGAUUUAACAGAUAGUAUUGUGUUAGGAAGCUAAGCAAAAAAACCCUCAAAAAACAAAAAACUAGAGUGGCCAGGAGUGGUGGCUCAUGCCUGUAAUUCCAGCACUUUGGGAGGCCAAGGCGGGUAGAUCGCUUGAGCUCAGAAGUUGGAGACCAGCCUGGCCAACAUGGCGAAACUGUCUCUACAAAAAAAUACAAAAAUUAGCUGGGCGCAGUGGUACAUGUCUGGAAUUUCAGCUACUUGGGAGGCUGAGUCAUGAGAAUCACUUGAACCUGGGAGGCAGAGGUCACAGUGAGCCAAGAUUGCACCACUGCACUCCAGCCUGGGUGACAGAGUGAGAGCCUGUCUCAAAAAAAAAAAAAAAAAGAAAAAACUGGAGUCAAUCUAAAAUUGCUUUAAAGAAAAGUGUUGAGGAAAUAAUAGAACAGGCAGGAAAGAGAUGUGAGAAAAUGGCAAAGGGGAGUGUGAAAGUUUGGCAAACACAGUUUUAAAUUCUUCAUCCUGCUCUUGCGUGGAAAGACUGUCUGCUCUUGCUUCUAAGUGAUAAACAUCUUAGUGGGAAAACCUCUUCCUUUUAUUUACCCAUUGACCCAGUUUUGGUGGUCAAUGACGCCCGCCCUUCCUGACAGAUGUUGGGGCAUGGGCCAGACAGGCCCGCUGGGUACACAAGGAUGCCCGCUCUUCUCCCUUGAUCCUGCAGUGGCUCCCUAGGGCCUCCAAGUAGGGGGAGUAGUUCUGUUGAUGGAGGGGUCACUAUGUACAAAGACUGAGCUGAAAUUUCUUGCACACCUUCUCAGAAUCACCCUAGGAGGGAAGCUUUUUGAAUGACCCCAUUUUAUUGAAAAAGAAACUAAGGCUCACAGAGGUCAAGGGUCUUGUCCAAGAUCACACAGCAAGUAAGCGAAGGACCUCACGCUCCAGUUCAGGUCGGCCUCUUUCUUUUGUUUUUUUGAGACAGAGUCUCGCUCUGUCGCCCAGGCUGGAGUGCAGUGGCAUGAUCUCGGCUCACUGCAAGCUCCGCCUCCCAGGUUCACGCCAUUCUCCUGCCUCAGCCUCCUGAGCAGCUAGGACUACAGGCGCCGCCACCACACCCGGCUAAUUUUUUGUAUUUUUUUUUUAAGUAGAGACGGGGUUUCACCGUGUUAGCCAGGAUCGUCUGGAUCUCCUGACCUCGUGAUCCACCCGCCUUGGCCUCCCAAAGUGCUAGGAUUACAGGCGUGGGACACCGUGCCCAGCCCAGGUCCUUGUGCCCUUCGAGGGUGCAGACGGUGGUCUCUGCAUCUCCUUUGCUCCACGUGCCAGGCACAGGUGCCUGGGAACUACAGAAGAGGUUGAAUAGAAGGCUUAACAAUGAGUUUGGAAGUCAGGCACAGAGGGUUUGACUUCCGGGGGCACCCCUUGCCAGCUGUAUGACCCUGGUAACAAGAGGAUUCAGAAUCUGAGAGAUACUGCUUAAAAGGAAAAUGUCCUGGAGGGAUGCCAAACUGCACUCUCAAAGGUUUCGGCUGGAUGUGUGAUAUUGAUGGGGAAACCCAUUUCAGUGUCUCUAAGAAGGGGGUAGUGCUCCUCUUUCCAGGAUGUCUCUGGGGAAUCUAGAGCACCCCAAAGUGUGGUAUGCAUAGAAACAUUGCUGCUUAAGGUCUGAAUAUUUGUUCCUCAUCAAUUCAUGUGUUGAAAUUCUAACCUCUCCUGAAUGGGAUUAGUGCUCUUACACGAGAGGCCUGACAGAGACUCCUCACCCUUCCCACCAUGCGAAGACACAGUGAGAAGGCUCAGUCUAUGAACCAAAAUGUUGACUGUCACCAUUUACUCAAUCUGCUGUCGCCUUGAGCUUGGACUUCCCAGCCUCCAGAACUGUGAGAAAUAAAUUUCUGUUGCUUAUAAGACAACCAGUUUAUGACAUUUCGUUAUAGCAGCCUGAAUGGACUAAGACACCCUUCCCACCAUGUGAAGACAGAGUGAGAAGGUUCGGUCUAUGAACCAAAAACUGACCCUCACCAGUCAUUGAAUCUGCUGGUGCCUUGAUCUUGGACUUCCCAGCCUCCAGAACUGUGAGAAAUAAAUUUCUGUCGUUUAUAAGCCACCUAGUUUAUGAUACUUUGUUAUAGCAGCCUGAAUGGACUGAGACACCCACCUUAAAAAGACAGUACCUCAAAACCAUAAGGCAGGAUAACUGCUAGCCUGAUAUUAAUAGUUUUUAAUUUACUGCUAGCUUCAUUUUGCCAACUGAGUCAGAUAUUUUUUAAAAGUUCUGUUUGCAAUUAUUUUAACUUAGGAGAGGAGAAAAAGAGCAGGCAUCAGCCUGCAUAUGGGAUAUUUCUGAAAGGAUUUUGCUAUGAUUAGCUUGCCCUCAGGGAGAGUAAAAUGUGAGUUAUACAACCAUGCUUAUAUUUAGAUGUUGUUGAUGUUCUGGCUUAUAAUAUAUGAUGAGUUAGAAAUAAUUUUGUACUGAUCAGCCCAACCAGAAAAUAAACAUGCUUUAACUUGUAUUUAUUACUAAACUUGGUCUCCUAAAACAUGAUAAAGCAGUUGAGUCUAUAAUGACUGAGCCAUAGCUUCUCUGACUGACUCUAAGAGGGAAUGACGUUAAUAAGAGAUUAGCCCAUACCUCUAAUAGCCCUGGGAGAGAUGAACCCAAGACGGCAAGGCCCAGCUCUGAUGGAUGAAGGGACAGAGAACUAUAAGAAGACUGGGUUCCAUCUAGGAUGGGUGGCCUGUUGAGUGCCCAUCUUAUCUGCUUAGAUGAUGAUACUUGGAGACCUGACUCAAUUGUUGUGAAUGGUCUUUGUAAAAUUUUAUUUUAGAGACAGGGUCUUGCUAUGUUGCCCAGGCUGGUCUCAAACACCUGGGCUCAAGUGAUCCUCCUGCCUCAGCCUCCUGAGUAGCUGGAACUGCAAGUGAUUACUCUUAUUGAACAAACAAACAAAAACAAGUGCCUGUGACCUAAUAGAGAUGCAUGCAUAUGUUCACCAAAAGAUCUAGAAUGUCCACAACAGCCCUAUUUAUCAUCACCCCAAAUGGGGCACCCUGCACCUACCUCAACAGUAGAUGCAUACAUUUCUGUGUAUUUACACUGUGGAAUAUGACACAGCAAUGACAAUGAAUGAACUACAGCUAUACACAACAACAUGGAUGGCUAUCACAAACAUAAGGUAGAGCUAAAAGCGAAAAAAACCAGCAUAAAAGUGGGCAAAAGCCAUCUAUGUUGUUAAAAAUCAGGAUAGUGGCUGCCCUGGAAGGGGGCAUGAGGAGGCUUCAAGGUGCUUGUCAUGUUCUCUUUCUUCACU